GUCGAGCGGGCAUCCUUCGGGAUGUUAGCUGGCGGACGGGUGAGUAACGCGUGGGAACGUGCCCUUUGCUACGGAAUAGCCUCGGGAAACUGAGAGUAAUACCGUAUGUGCCCUUCGGGGGAAAGAUUUAUCGGCAAAGGAUCGGCCCGCGUUGGAUUAGGUAGUUGGUGGGGUAAUGGCCUACCAAGCCGACGAUCCAUAGCUGGUUUGAGAGGAUGAUCAGCCACACCGGGACUGAGACACGGCCCAGACUCCUACGGGAGGCAGCAGUGGGGAAUCUUAGACAAUGGGGGAAACCCUGAUCUAGCCAUGCCGCGUGAGCGAUGAAGGCCUUAGGGUUGUAAAGCUCUUUCAGUGGGGAAGAUAAUGACGGUACCCACAGAAGAAGCCCCGGCUAACUCCGUGCC
rnacentral:rRNA from 1 species